rnacentral:tRNA from 1 species
GUGGGUGUAGCUCAGUUGGUUAGAGUGCUAGGUUGUGGCCCUGGAGGUCGUCGGUUCGAGUCCGAUCACCCACCCCA